rnacentral:rRNA from 1 species
UAUGUGAUCGUCUCUCGCAUAUCAAUAAGCGGAGGAAAAGAAACUAACAAGGAUUCCCCUAGUAACGGCGAGUGAAGCGGGAAGAGCUCAAAUUUGAAAUCUUAAAGGGUUUCCCUUUACGAAUUGUAGUUUAAAGAAGUGUUUUCUGUUGAGGUUUUGGUAAAAGUUCUUUGGAAUAGGACAUCAUAGAGGGUGAGAAUCCCGUAUUUGACCUUUACUUUCAACUUCGUGAUACACUUUCAAAGAGUCGGAUUGUUUGGGAAUGCAGUCCAAAAUGGGUGGUAAAUUUCAUCUAAAGCUAAAUAUUGGCGAGAGACCGAUAGCGAACAAGUACCGUGAGGGAAAGAUGAAAGAACUUUGAAAAGAGAGUUAAACAGUACGUGAAAUUGUCAAAGGGAAGCGUUUGACACCAGUGUUGUUUUUCUGAAAAUCAAUUAAAGAACUGUUUAUGCUAAGCUGUUUAGACUUUAUCAGCUAAUCUGUUUAGUUUUGAGCUUUUCUUUAAUGCACUUUUCAGUUAACAAGUCAACAUCAAUUUCUUUUGCUGUAAAAAAGCUUGAGGAAGGUGGCUUGAGAUUCGUCUUAAGUGUUUAUAGCCUCUUGCCUAUGCAGUCGGAGAGAUUGAGGUCUGCAGCGUAGAUCCUUCGGGGCUAAAUGCAUUUGUGCUAAGUUAUAGCAUUUUAUAGACAACUUGUUGACUAUGAUUUGUCUUGUAGCUUACUCGCUUAUGUUAUUUUACCUACGCUUAGGAUGUUGAACGCGCACAGAGUCUC